GACGAACGCUGGCGGCGUGCUUAACACAUGCAAGUCGAACGGAAAGGCCCUGCUUUUGUGGGGUGCUCGAGUGGCGAACGGGUGAGUAACACGUGAGUAACCUGCCCUUGACUUUGGGAUAACUUCAGGAAACUGGGGCUAAUACCGGAUAGGAGCUCCUGCUGCAUGGUGGGGGUUGGAAAGUUUCGGCGGUUGGGGAUGGACUCGCGGCUUAUCAGCUUGUUGGUGGGGUAGUGGCUUACCAAGGCUUUGACGGGUAGCCGGCCUGAGAGGGUGACCGGGCACAUGGGGACUGAGAUACGGCCCAGACGGCUACGGGAGGCAGAAGUGGGGAAUAUUGCACAAUGAGCGGAAGCCUGAUGCAGCAACGCCGCGUGCGGGAUGACGGCCUUCGGGUUGUAAACCGCUUUCGCCUGUGACGAAGCGUGAGUGACGGUAAUGGGUAAAGAAGCACCGGCUAACUACGUG
rnacentral:rRNA from 1 species